rnacentral:Y_RNA from 1 species
GGCUGGUCCGAAUGUAGUGAGUUAUCUCACGUGGUUGUUCACAGUCAGUUACAGAUUGAUCUCCUUGUUCUACUACUUUUCCCCCCUUCUCACUACUGCACUUGACUAGUCUUAA